UACGUAGGGGGCUAGCGUUGUCCGGAAUCAUUGGGCGUAAAGCGCGUGUAGGCGGUCCGGUAAGUCCGCUGUGAAAGUCGGGGGCUCAACCCUCGGAUGCCGGUGGAUACUGUCGGGCUUGAGUACGGAAGAGGCGAGUGGAAUUCCUGGUGUAGCGGUGAAAUGCGUAGAUAUCUGGAGGAACACCGGUGGCGAAGGCGGCGACCUGGGUCGACACUGACGCUGAGGCGCGAAAGCGUGGGGAGCAAACAGG
rnacentral:rRNA from 1 species